GGCCAGGAGGAGGAGCAGGCAGGGAGGCUGCUGGUGCCUUUGGCUCAGCCAGUGGGGCUCUCAGCCCUCUGGAGUGUGCCCUAGGGACCAGUUUGUCCAUGCCCCUGCCUCCAGGCCAGUCACUAGGACCAACAGAUGUCCCAAGGAAGACACCGGCCAUGACUGCAUCCUGGAACCAUAUCAAACUGGCAGCACUUACUUCUCUGGACUUGUUUUUGUUUCACCAAAUUUGCUGGAUCUGUUGGCAAGUUUGAGUGAACAGUCUCAGACUGCAAAGCAAGUCAGCACUACCACAGAGGGAAUCCCAAACUCGCUGCUGAGAACAGAACAGCUGUGCCCUCGCCGACUGGGACCCGAGUGACAUCUACUGGAGCAAGCAGGGGCUGCACGUGAGCAGGCAGCCAUUCGGUCACUCCCCGUCAUUCCAACACAAUCGAAUUUGUGUAGAAAAUUUACAUGCAUCAUAGGCUAUUUAUGAAUAUAUGCACACGUAGAAAGAGGAAAAAUACGCUUGGAAAUGUCCAGGCCUCAGUUUCGCCAUUGAUAAAGACACA
rnacentral:lncRNA from 1 species